rnacentral:rRNA from 1 species
AGGACGAACGCUGGCGGCGUGCUUAACACAUGCAAGUCACGGGGCCCGCAAGGGCAACCGGCGAACGGGUGCGUAACACGUGAGCAAUCUGCCGAUUUCUGGGGGAUAGCCGGCCCAACGGCCGGGUAAUACCGCAUACGCUCGUUGAGAGGAGUCUCUCGACGAGGAAACCUCCGGGGGAAAUCGAGGAGCUCGCGGCCUAUCAGCUAGUUGGCGGGUAACGGCCCACCAAGGCGACGACGGGUAG